CCUACGGGAGGCAGCAGUAGGGAAUCUUCCACAAUGGGCGAAAGCCUGAUGGAGCAACGCCGCGUGGGUGAAGAAGGUCUUCGGAUCGUAAAACCCUGUUGUUAGAGAAGAAAGUGCGUGAGAGUAACUGUUCACGUUUCGACGGUAUCUAACCAGAAAGCCACGGCUAACUACGUGCCAGCAGCCGCGGUAAUACGUAGGUGGCAAGCGUUAUCCGGAUUUAUUGGGCGUAAAGGGAACGCAGGCGGUCCUUUAAGUCUGAUGUGAAAGCCUUGGGCUUAACCGGAGUAGUGCAUUGGAAACUGGGAGACUGGAGAGCAGAAGAGGAGAGUGGAACUCCAUGUGUAGCGGUGAAAUGCGUAGAUAUAUGGAAGAACACCAGUGGCGAAAGCGGCUCUCUGGUCUGUAACUGACGCUGAGGUUCGAAAGCGUGGGUAGCAAACAGGAUUAGAUACCCUAGUAGUC
rnacentral:rRNA from 1 species